rnacentral:tRNA from 1 species
GACUGGUGAGCUCAGUUGGUAGAGCGCUCCACUUGUAAUGGAGAGGUCCCGGGUUCGAUACCCGAACCAGGCG